AGGAUGAACGCUGGCGGCGUGCCUAACACAUGCAAGUCGAACGUCCUGUCUCGCAAGAGGCAGGGAGUGGCGGACGGGUGAGUACCACGUGGGUCAUCUACCGUGAGGUGAGGAAUACCGGCGAGAAAUCGCCGACAAGACCGCAUAGCCUCGGUGCAGGUCGAGGAAAGCUCUCUCGAGAGAGGGAGCGCCACACGAGGAGCCUGCGCCCGAUUAGCUAGCUGGUGGAGUAAUGGUUCACCAGGGCGACGAUCGGUAGCCGGUCUGAGAGGACGAUCAGCCACACUGGGAUUGAGAACGGCCCAGACUCCUACGGGGGGCAGCAGUGAGGAAUUUUCGUCAAUGGGGGCAACCCUGAACGAGCAACGCCGCGUGCAGGAAGAAGGUUUUCGGAUCGUAAACUGCUUUUUCUCGGGGAAGAGAACGGACGGUACCCGAGGAAUCAGCCCCGGCUAACUACGUGCCAGCAGCCGC
rnacentral:rRNA from 1 species